rnacentral:rRNA from 1 species
CCUACGGGGGGCUGCAGUGGGGGAUAUUGCACAAUGGAGGAAACUCUGAUGCAGCGACGCCGCGUGAGGGAAGACGGUCUUCGGAUUGUAAACCUCUGUCUUUGGGGAAGAAAAUGACGGUACCCAAAGAGGAAGCUCCGGCAAACAACGUGCCAGCAGCCGCGGUAAUACGUAGGGAGCGAGCGUUUUCCGGAAUUACUGGUGGUAAGGGGAGCGUAGGCGGGCGAUAAAGCUGAAUGUAAAAUCUACCGGCUUAACUGGGAGCUGCGUUUAAAACUUCUUGUAUUGAGUGAAGGAGAGGCAGGCGGAAUUCCUAGUGUAGCGGUGAAAUGCGUAGAUAUUAGGAGGAACACCAGUGGCGAAGGCGGCCUGCUGGGCUUUAACUGACGCUGAGGCUCGAAAGCGUGGGGAGCAAACAGGAUUAGAUACCCGGGUAGUC